UACCAAUGCAAGUCGCACGGUGAAGCAGAGCUUGCUCUGUGGAUCAGUGGCGAACGGGUGAGUAACACGUGAGCAACCUGCCCCUGACUCUGGGAUAAGCGCUGGAAACGGCGUCUAAUACUGGAUAUGAGCUGCGACCGCAUGGUCAGCAGUUGGAAAGAUUUUUCGGUCUGGGAUGGGCUCACGGCCUAUCAGCUUGUUGGUGAGGUAAUGGCUCACCAAGGCGUCGACGGGUAGCCGGCCUGAGAGGGUGACCGGCCACACUGGGACUGAGACACGGCCCAGACUCCUACGGGAGGCAGCAGUGGGGAAUAUUGCACAAUGGGCGAAAGCCUGAUGCAGCAACGCCGCGUGAGGGAUGACGGCCUUCGGGUUGUAAACCUCUUUUAGCAGGGAAGAARCGAAAGUGACGGUACCUGCAGAAAAAGCGCCGGCUAACUACGUGCCAGCAGCCGCGGUAAUACGUAGGGCGCAAGCGUUAUCCGGAAUUAUUGGGCGUAAAGAGCUCGUAGGCGGUUUGUCGCGUCUGCUGUGAAAUCCCGAGGCUCAACCUCGGGUCUGCAGUGGGUACGGGCAGACUAGAGUGCGGUAGGGGAGAUUGGAAUUCCUGGUGUAGCGGUGGAAUGCGCAGAUAUCAGGAGGAACACCGAUGGCGAAGGCAGAUCUCUGGGCCGUUACUGACGCUGAGGAGCGAAAGGGUGGGGAGCAAACAGGCUUAGAUACCCUGGUAGUCCACCCCGUAAACGUUGGGAACUAGUUGUGGGGUCCAUUCCACGGAUUCCGUGACGCAGCUAACGCAUUAAGUUCCCCGCCUGGGGAGUACGGCCGCAAGGCUAAAACUCAAAGGAAUUGACGGGGACCCGCACAAGCGGCGGAGCAUGCGGAUUAAUUCGAUGCAACGCGAAGAACCUUACCAAGGCUUGACAUAUACGAGAACGGGCCAGAAAUGGUCAACUCUUUGGACACUCGUAAACAGGUGGUGCAUGGUUGUCGUCAGCUCGUGUCGUGAGAUGUUGGGUUAAGUCCCGCAACGAGCGCAACCCUCGUUCUAUGUUGCCAGCACGUAAUGGUGGGAACUCAUGGGAUACUGCCGGGGUCAACUCGGAGGAAGGUGGGGAUGACGUCAAAUCAUCAUGCCCCUUAUGUCUUGGGCUUCACGCAUGCUACAAUGGCCGGUACAAAGGGCUGCAAUACCGCGAGGUGGAGCGAAUCCCAAAAAGCCGGUCCCAGUUCGGAUUGAGGUCUGCAACUCGACCUCAUGAAGUCGGAGUCGCUAGUAAUCGCAGAUCAGCAACGCUGCGGUGAAUACGUUCCCGGGUCUUGUACACACCGCCCGUCAAGUCAUGAAAGUCGGUAACACCUGAAGCCGGUGGCCCAACCCUAGGGAGGGU
rnacentral:rRNA from 1 species